UACAGAGGGUGCGAACGUUGUUCGGAAUCACUGGGCAUAAAGCGUGUGUAGGCGGAUCGUUAAGUGUCUUGUGAAAUCCCACGGCUCACCCGUGGAACUGCUGGGCAUACUGGCGAUCUUGGGCCAACUAGGGGCAGCCGGAACAAGCGGUGGAGCGGUGAAAUGCGUAGAUAUCGCUUGGAACGCCAAAGGUGAAAACAGGCUGCUGGGGUUGUGCCGACGCUGAGACACGAAAGCCAGGGGAGCAAACGGG
rnacentral:rRNA from 1 species